AAUUUCAGCUGAAAAAGUCAUCAACAACAAAAGUUGUAUAACUCAUCAAGAUCUAUAACUUUUAUUUUGGUCAUUUCUUCAUCUGAUAAAGUGAUUGUAACAUUUUCACAAAAUUUACAUAUCUCUUUUAUAGUUUAGAACCAUGUUACUAUCACUUUGUCGGAUGAAGAAAUGACCAAAAUAAAAGUUAAAGAUCUUGAUGAGUUAUAUAACUUUGUUGUUGAUGACUUUUUCAGCUGAAAUC
rnacentral:pre_miRNA from 1 species